GACGAACCGUGCAAACGUUGUUCGGAAUCACUGGGCUUAAAGGGCGCGUAGGCGGCUUGCCAAGUCAGGGGUGAAUCUUUCGGCUCAACCGGAAAAGUGCCUCUGAUACUGGCGAGCUAGAGGGAGGUAGGGCAUGUGGAACUUCCGGUGGAGCGGUGAAAUGCGUAGAUAUCGGGAGGACACCUGUGGCGAAAGCGGCGCACUGGACCACAACUGACGCUGAGGCGCGAAAGCUAGGGGGAGCAAACAGG
rnacentral:rRNA from 1 species